CCCUAGUCUCAGUUCGGAUUGGAGUCUGCAACCCGACUCCAUGAAGCUGGAUUCGCUAGUAAUCGCGCAUCAGCCACGGCGCGGUGAAUACGUUCCCGGGCCUUGUACACACCGCCCGUCAAGCCAUGGAAGCCGGGAGUGCCUGAAGUGCGUGACCGCAAGGAGCGUCCUAAGGCAAUACCGGUGACUGGGGCUAAGUCGUAACAAGGUAUC
rnacentral:rRNA from 1 species